GGGCUCGUAGCUCAGUGGAUAGAGCAUCGGAUUCCUAAUCCGAGGGUCGCAGGUUCAAGUCCUGCCGGGCCUACCA
rnacentral:tRNA from 2 species